rnacentral:rRNA from 1 species
AGCGAACGCUGGCGGCAGGCCUAACACAUGCAAGUCGAACGGACCCUCCGGGGUUAGUGGCGGACGGGUGAGUAACACGUGGGAACGUGCCUUUAGGCUCGGAAUAGCUCCUGGAAAAGGGUGGUAAUGUCGAAUGAGUACCUCGGGGGAAAGAUUUAUCCCGUUUAGGGCGGCCCGAGUCUGAUUAGCUUGGUGGUGAGGUAACGGCUCACCAAGGCGUGGAUCAGUAGCUGGUUUGAGAGGAUCACCAGCGACACUGGGACGGGGACGCGGCCCAGACUCCUACGGGAGGCGGCAGAGGGGGAUCUAGCGCAAUGGGCGAAAGCCUGACGCAGCCAGGCCGGGAGAAUGAUGAAGGUGUUAGAAAUGUAAAGUUCUUUCACCGGGGACGGUAAUGACGGUACCCGAAGAAGAAGCCCCGGCUAACUUCGUG